rnacentral:rRNA from 1 species
GUUGGGAUGCUUACAUGCAGUCGAACGGCAGCGCGGGGCAACCUGGCGGCGAGUGGCGAACGGGUGAGUAAUAUAUCGGAACGUACCCAGAAGUGGGGGAUAACGUAGCGAAAGUUACGCUAAUACCGCAUACGAUCUACGGAUGAAAGUGGGGGACCUUCGGGCCUCAUGCUUUUGGAGCGGCCGAUAUCUGAUUAGCUAGUUGGUAGGGUAAAGGCCUACCAAGGCGACGAUCAGUAGCUGGUCUGAGAGGACGACCAGCCACACUGGAACUGAGACACGGUCCAGACUCCUACGGGAGGCAGCAGUGGGGAAUUUUGGACAAUGGGCGCAAGCCUGAUCCAGCAAUGCCGCGUGAGUGAAGAAGGCCUUCGGGUUGUAAAGCUCUUUUGUCAGGGAAGAAACGGUUCGGAUUAAUACCUUGGGCUAAUGACGGUACCUGAAGAAUAAGCACCGGCUAACUACGUGCCAGCAGCCGCGGUAAUACGUAGGGUGCAAGCGUUAAUCGGAAUUACUGGGCGUAAAGCGUGCGCAGGCGGUUUUGUAAGUCUGUCGUGAAAGCCCCGGGCUCAACCUGGGAAUUGCGAUGGAGACUGCAAGGCUUGAAUCUGGCAGAGGGGGGUAGAAUUCCACGUGUAGCAGUGAAAUGCGUAGAGAUGUGGAGGAACACCGAUGGCGAAGGCAGCCCCCUGGGUCAAGAUUGACGCUCAUGCACGAAAGCGUGGGGAGCAAACAGGAUUAGAUACCCUGGUAGUCCACGCCCUAAACGAUGUCUACUAGUUGUCGGGUUUUAAUUAACUUGGUAACGCAGCUAACGCGUGAAGUAGACCGCCUGGGGAGUACGGUCGCAAGAUUAAAACUCAAAGGAAUUGACGGGGACCCGCACAAGCGGUGGAUGAUGUGGAUUAAUUCGAUGCAACGCGAAAAACCUUACCUACCCUUGACAUGGAAGGAAUCCUGAAGAGAUUUGGGAGUGCCCGAAAGGGAACCUUUACACAGGUGCUGCAUGGCUGUCGUCAGCUCGUGUCGUGAGAUGUUGGGUUAAGUCCCGCAACGAGCGCAACCCUUGUCAUUAGUUGCUACAUUUAGUUGAGCACUCUAAUGAGACUGCCGGUGACAAACCGGAGGAAGGUGGGGAUGACGUCAAGUCCUCAUGGCCCUUAUGGGUAGGGCUUCACACGUCAUACAAUGGUACAUACAGAGGGCCGCCAACCCGCGAGGGGGAGCUAAUCCCAGAAAGUGUAUCGUAGUCCGGAUUGUAGUCUGCAACUCGACUACAUGAAGUUGGAAUCGCUAGUAAUCGCGGAUCAGCAUGUCGCGGUGAAUACGUUCCCGGGUCUUGUACACACCGCCCGUCACACCAUGGGAGCGGGUUUUACCAGAAGUAGGUAGCUUAACCGCAAGGGGGGCGCUCCAGAUAGAUUUC